rnacentral:rRNA from 1 species
AACGAACGCUGGCGGCAUGCCUAACACAUGCAAGUCGAACGAGAUCUUCGGGUCUAGUGGCGCACGGGUGCGUAACGCGUGGGAAUCUGCCCUUUGGUUCGGAAUAACAAUUGGAAACGACUGCUAAUACCGGAUGAUGACGAAAGUCCAAAGAUUUAUCGCCAGAGGAUGAGCCCGCGUAGGAUUAGCUAGUUGGUGUGGUAAAGGCGCACCAAGGCGACGAUCCUUAGCUGGUCUGAGAGGAUGAUCAGCCACACUGGGACUGAGACACGGCCCAGACUCCUACGGGAGGCAGCAGUGGGGAAUAUUGGACAAUGGGCGAAAGCCUGAUCCAGCGAUGCCGCGUGAGUGAUGAAGGCCUUAGGGUUGUAAAGCUCUUUUACCCGGGAUGAUAAUGACAGUACCGGGAGAAUAAGCUCCGGCUAACUCCGUGCCAGCAGCCGCGGUAA